UACGUAGGGCGCAAGCGUUGUCCGGAUUUAUUGGGCGUAAAGAGCUCGUAGGCGGUCUGUCGCGUCGGAUGUGAAAACCCGGAACUCAACUCCGGGCCUGCAUUCGAUACGGGCAGACUUGAGUACUGCAGGGGAGACUGGAAUUCCUGGUGUAGCGGUGGAAUGCGCAGAUAUCAGGAGGAACACCGGUGGCGAAGGCGACUCUUUGGCCUGUAACUGACACUGAGGCGCGAAAGCGUGGGGAGCAAACAGG
rnacentral:rRNA from 1 species